UGUAGGCUUAGGCUUAGGCUUCGGCUUAGGUUUAGACUUAGGCUUAGGUUUAGGUUUAGGCUUAGGCGUAGACUUAAGCUUAGGCU
ensembl:ncRNA C03H5.8 ncRNA